UGUUGGUACCUUUGCAGCGAUAGACUGCGAACCCCGCCAGGCCCGGAAGGGAGCAACGGUAGCUGUUGACUCGGGUGCUAAGACUUCACUGGCACAG
rnacentral:SRP_RNA from 1 species